AACAAAGGAUUGGAGUGGACAGGUUUGUAGUGUAUAUCACAUCACUUGUUGAUGGUGAAGCAUUUGUUUAAAUUGAGGUCAAACAUUUUCAGGUGUCUGCUUUGUCAAUAUUCUGGUGCCACGACUUGCUAAACACACGAGAAGUUCUGAAUUAUGAAACUGCUGCCUUUUGCAAAUGCUACAACAGCAAUGGCUGUUGAAAGACUACAAGGAGAGAAAUUGAGAUCUGAGGACAGGAAGGUGGAAUUGAUUUCAUGCUUAGCAAAGUGACGGUUUAAGCAGAGGACCUUUUGUGGCAAGGCUACAGAAUCAGAAGGAACGUUUAUCUGGGCAACUGUGAGAUUUACAGUUUUUCAUGCAGCCGACCAAGACACUGGGGUUAGCAUCAUCCCAAAUGGCUGGCAAAGUGAGGCACAAAGUGAGUGGAUUGCUGCUUUUUGCAGAGAAAGCUACAGGGCAUGAGGCUUGGUGUUCUGAUAUUGAAUUGUGGUUGGAGGCAGCGGUAGCUUGGGAAACUGUCAGCGUAGGACAGGCAGGUAUAGGUUAGGGAGGGCAUCCAUUGGUGGGCCCUGACUGGAUGUGAGGACCUAUCACACUUGGCCAGAGAUGAUAAAGGCUGCAGCAGAUUUCUGAUCAGAGGACUCCAUGUUGGACACCAUGCAGCCAUGAACUGACCCCUCUACAAUGAGGACUUUGCUCAAGAUGAACCAACCCUUCUAUGAUGACACCUCUUUUCAUGGGAUGUCUUCAGAUAUUGGACCAUGCCAAGCUGUAAACGUGCCUCAAUGGCUGCUAUGUCACUCUGCCCAACAGGACA